UUUUCUUAGUAUAGUUAGUACUAAUGACUUCCAAUCAUUAAGCCUUGGUUAAACCCCAAGAGAAGAUA
rnacentral:tRNA from 1 species